AUUAAAAUCUACAAUAUGAAAAAAAAGUUUAUAUUUUAAAGACAGUUAAGGUUACAAGUUACACAAUCCGAUUGAAUUUCAUUGACGGGAAGACAGUAACGCAUAGAUUUGAAAAUGAAGGUUUUAUUGAUUGUGCUGGUAGUUGUUUUGAGUCUUGUCUUUUCUAAUGGAAUGCUGGGACUUGACCCAUGCACGACAUGUGUGUAUUUCAACACGACCUGUCCAUUUAACUGCCCACCACGAAACUGUGAUUGUACAAAUCCAGUUGUUGGCUGUGUUGUAAUGUGUUUGAAUGGCUUGGCAAAGUGAACGCCUACUAAAGAGCAAAGAGAUUAAAUAUCUUAAUAGCUAUACGUAUCCUUGUCUUGAUUGCUUGAUAUAAUAUAAAGCUCUGAAUUAAUUGCU
rnacentral:sRNA from 1 species